rnacentral:rRNA from 1 species
AUGUAGGUAUCUGCCCUUUGGCCUGGAAUAACACGAGGAAACUUGUGCUAAUACCGGAUAAGUCUUUACGGAGAAAGCUUUAUGCACCAUUGGAUGAGCCUGCACUUGAUUAGUUUGUUGGUGGGGUAAUGGCCUACCAAGACUGUGAUCAAUAGCUGAUUUGAGAGGAUGAUCAGCCACAUUGGGACUGAGACACGGCCCAAACUCCUACGGGAGGCAGCAGUGGGGAAUUUUGGACAAUGGGCGCAAGCCUGAUCCAGCAAUGCCGCGUGAGUGAAGAAGGCCUCGGUUGUAAGCUCU